rnacentral:tRNA from 1 species
GGAAUCGUGCCCGAAUGUUUAAGGAACACUUUGAUAGAGUGUACUAUAGAGGUUAAAGUCCUCUCGCUUCCU